CUAAGACUUUGGUGGCUAGAGGUCCUCGGAGCCACUGAGUUCCACAGCAGAACAGAGGUCACAAGCAGACUGGGAGCACAGGGUGCAGGGUGAUAAGGAGGAAGGAACCAUUGACUUGAGGGGAAAUCAUGUGACAGAGCUGGAUGGGACCUUAGAGGGCGUAUGAGCCAAUUCUAGGUAGGGAAACUGAGGUCCAGGGAGGGGAGAAACUAGCAGCUGAUACGUAGGUCAUUAUGGGGAUUAAUCUCAGGCCUUAACCCUCUUACAGCAAGCUUGGCUUUCUGAAAAUGCUGUCCCUUCCGCACCCCUAGAGACCUCAGAGAACUCUGCUGUCUCCACCCAGCGUGGAGCUGGGCGCAGCCCCUUCCUCCGCAGGCGUCCCAAGAAUGGGGGAUCGCGGGCAAAGAUCUCUGCAGAGACCUCAGAGGACACUGAAGUCUAAGAGGACGCAGAAGGUAACUUGCCUGGAGUCACCACAGCAGUAAAUGACAGAAGCAGACGUUGAAUUAGGCCGGAUGACCCAGAACCAGUGAGUUUCAAACCAACAGGUUCUGGAACUCUGUGAUCAGGAGAUGCACAGCUACCCUACGGCAGCGGGAAGCCGCUGAUACCUUCGGAAGGAAGGAUGGGAUGGACGUGAUUUCUGAAGGCUGAAAUCCUAGCCCUGCGGCGGGAGAGUCCCAAGGGCCCUCUCCCCGGCCCCACCGUGUGAGGACCCAAAAGCAGGACGCCAUCUACGAGGCAGGAGCAGACCCUCAGCAGACACCUGGGCCUUGCAGUUCUCGGCCAUCAGAACUGUGAGGAAUAAAUCCCACUGAUUAUGGCAGUUCUCAGAGUACCCCAGAGAAGACCAGUUCCAGCCACCGCUACUUCAACUACUUUCUACCAACGUCACCAACACCGCUGCCACGAUCACGACCGCCACCGCCCGCUCAUGUUUAUUGAGCACCAAGCGCCAGGCACUGUGCUAGGAGUUGGGCAGCUGCCGUUUCUGACCCUCAGGCCACCUGAGCUGAAGGCAAGGAUUCUGCUGUGGAUUUUACAAGCCCCUCAGCCUGGGCUUCCUGUGGUGUCACUUCUCUUAGCAGUGGCCUUCCACGUCCCCGCCGUGCCUGGGCAGGG